AAAAUCCAAAAAAAAAAAAAGAUGAAACAAAAUGAAUCCCAUUGAUGACAAGCAAGAAAAAGUAACAUUUAGAGCAAUAAGCCAUGGUGAAGAAGGCAAAACAAAGGUAACAAAACAUGAAACAAACACACACAACAUAGAAACCUUAAAACACAGAGAAAAAAAAACUUAUAGACAAAGGUGUACAUAGAAAAGAUCGUCGUCCUAUCGAUGGAAUACCUUUAAAUAAACAAUCGAAAUCGGGUUAUGGGGGAAAAUUUACAUGGGAAGGACCGCGAAACGCUAGGGAAUAUGAAUAUCAUGAUCUCCCCGUGGCUCUCGAUGAGAACGAUUCAAAUUUUGUUGAUGAAGGGGAAGGUGUUGCUGGAGAAGUUGAUGUCGUUAAGGUUGCUAAUGAAGGUGUAGGUAGAAUUGAUGUUGUUGAUCGUGGUUUUCAAGAAAAUAUGUGAUGUGUAACGUUUCAGUAACGAGUUUUAAGUUAUAUAUAUCGCCAGUAUAUCAGUAUAUUAUAAGGUCAAAAAGAAAAUUUUUCUUUAAAAGUGUGAUGUACAAGAAAAUAUGGAAUCUAAUGUCUCAGUAACGAGUUUAAGUUAAAACAUAUUGUCAGUCUUAAAAUUAUUUUUUAAAAAGUGUUGACGUAUAACAUGAGUUUAAGUUAUAUAUAUUGUCAGUUUAUUAUAAGGUCAAGAUUAUCCUUUAAAAAGUGCUCUAUAUUAAAA
rnacentral:lncRNA from 1 species